rnacentral:antisense_RNA from 1 species
CUUCAGCGAGCCGAGCCACACCGGGCUGUCCUCGGGCCGGUCCUGGCCGUAGGUCGCCAGCAGCGCCUGCGCCUC